rnacentral:tRNA from 1 species
GAAGAAAAYAAGAAACCGCUAACUUCUAACC